GCUCAGCAGAAUUUUAGCUCAGUUGGUUAGAGCAUGGUGCUGAUAAGGCCCAGGUUGCAGGUUUGAUUCCCAUAUGGAACA